rnacentral:tRNA from 1 species
GCAGUGGUGGUUCAGUGGCAGAAUGCUCACCUUCCAUGUAGGAAAGUCAGGCUCAAUUCCUGACCAAUGCA